rnacentral:rRNA from 1 species
GACGAACGCUGGCGGCGUGCUUAACACAUGCAAGUCGAGCGGUAAGGCCCUUUCGGGGGUACACGAGCGGCGAACGGGUGAGUAACACGCGGGUGACCUGCCCUCAGCUCUGGGAUAAGCCUGGGAAACUGGGUCUAAUACCGGAUAUGACUCCAUGACGCAUGUUGUGGGGUGGAAAGCCUUGUGCGGCUGAGGAUGGGCCCGCGGCCUAUCAGCUUGUUGGUGGGGUGANGGCCUACCAAGGCGACGACGGGUAGCCGGCCUGAGAGGGCGACCGGCCACACUGGGACUGAGACACGGCCCAGACUCCUACGGGAGGCAGCAGUGGGGAAUCUUGCGCAAUGGGCGAAAGCCUGACGCAGCGACGCCGCGUGAGGGAUGACGGCCU